GAUGUGUCACCUUGGGGUCCUCCUACCUGCUUUUUCUCCAGGGUAGUUUAGGGUAACGUUAUCUCCUGCUUCAUCACUGGGAGAGCCUUCCAGAUCUUGCAGGAUUGCCCCUUAUGAUCCUUCACUUCCAAAAUGGAUCCAGUGAUCCCCUAAUUCCAUCUGACAGGAUGAGAUCCUUCCGUGCAGCGUUCCUGCUGCUGCUACUCCUUCUGUCAUAUGUGCACAGUGAUUCUCUGGCCACUCCCCAGGACAAGAUUCCAUUAGAUUCCACUAUCAAGGUGGAGGCUCUCACAGGAUCUCACAGACCGGAGGGGGCUGAGCUGGGGUCUGCAGGACCUCUGACCCACCAUGGUAUCCAGGAGCAGGUCAUUCGGUCCACCAGCCAACCAUCCACACGAGAGAGAGGAUCCUUGAGGACAACUGGGGCUGACAUCACCACUGAUGGUUCUACAGAUGGACGGCCGAUUUCUGGUGACCUCAGUCGCAGCCGCCCCGGACACAACCCCCAUCAUCCUCCUGGAGAUGUUGAUGAAUGUGCUGCUCUGGUGCCCCCUUGUGGACGAUAUGCAAACUGUACCAACACCACCGGCUCCUUCGUCUGUCACUGUCAUCGUGGUUUCCUUAAAGGGCCAAGUGGCUGUGAGGAUGUGGAUGAAUGUCACGUGGCUGAGAUAACCGGGCUCCAGGCCUGCCCCCCACAUUCCACAUGCCACAACACCAUUGGAUCUUUCAGCUGCAGCUGUGACGAGGGCUUUGUCUUUGGGUUGGAUGGGAAACACUGUGUUGAUAUAGAUGAGUGCGCUUUUGAAAAUCGGUGUCGUCGCGAGUUGGGGAACCUUUGUGUGAACAAUGAUGGGAGUUAUCGCUGCAGCUGUCAGGCAGGAUUCCAGGAAUCAGGACUUUCGUGCAUUGAUGUGGAUGAAUGUAAGGAGAACUCCAACAUCUGUUCUGGGAUUGGAGUUUGUGAGAAUGUGGUGGGAAGCUACCGCUGUGGCUGCCAGGCUGGUUUUCGAGGCAACGGAACCUAUUGUGAAGAUGAGAAUGAGUGCGCCUCUGGGAGACACGGCUGUGACACCAAUGCCCACUGCGGUAAUGUUAUCGGCUCAUACUUCUGCCAAUGCUAUCAAGGGUUCAACGGAGAUGGCUACAGCUGCUAUGAUAUUGACGAGUGUUCUUUGGAUAAUGGGAGCUGUGAGCAGCUGUGUGUGAACCAGGUCGGCAGCUUUCAGUGUCAGUGCCACCAGGGAUAUCAUCUUCUGCCCAAUGAAAAGAACUGUACAGAUAUUGAUGAGUGUCAGACAGAGAAUGGAAAUUGCAAGCAGAUGUGUAGAAACACAGAAGGAUCCUACCAGUGUUUGUGUCGGAAGGGCUUUCAGUUACACGUGGAUCUACGUCAGUGUGUGGAUAUCGACGAGUGUAAGAUCGACAGCGGAGGUUGUUCCCACUCCUGUAAUAACACUGAAGGGGGGUUCAUCUGUCUGUGCCCCCCACAUCAGGCUUUGGCCCGGGAUCAGCGGACCUGCAUUAAUAUCACAUCAUGUGGGGUGAAUAAUGGUGGCUGUGAGCAGCGGUGCAGUGAUCGGCUGGAGGGCGGCUUUGAGUGCAGCUGUCGGGCGGGGUAUAAGCUUAGUGGUGAUGGAAGGACGUGUGAUGAUGUGGACGAGUGUGCGGACUUCACCCGCGGAGGCUGUCAGCAGACCUGCCAGAACUUCCGGGCUCCUAUAACUGCAGCUGCUACAAGGGGUUCAGCCCCCGCUCUGACGACCACACCAAGUGCCAGCCUGUGUGUAACCCACCCUGCCAGAACUAUGGUGUGUGUGUGGCCCCCGACACAUGUGACUGCCCUGCAGGCUAUCCUGGACCUGGCUGUUCAGCAACGUGCUCCCCGCCUUGUGCCCAUGGAGGAACCUGCAUGCGACACAACAUGUGCGCCUGCCCACCAGGAUGGACGGCAUCCGGCUGCCAGACAGCGGUGGGUAAAUUGCAGUGUGCUAAUGGUGGCCGCUGCGUGGCCCCCGAUACCUGCCAGUGUCCAUCCGGGUACAGCGGAGAACAAUGUCUGACACCCCUCUGCUCUCCACCCUGCCAAAGUGGAGGCAAAUGCAUCGAUGUCAACAAGUGUGUGUGCCCCAGUGGGUGGUUCGGUGCCCGCUGCCAGAUAGAGCCCGUUCGUUGUGAGAAGCCGUGUCUGAACGGCGGCCGAUG